rnacentral:lncRNA from 1 species
AGAGAACAACCAUUCCACUCCAAGUAUUCAAGCAUUCAAUCUCUGCAACCUGUUCUUCAACGAAAAAAGAGGGAAGAGCUGCAUUAACUGCAUCCACCUACAUCUUCCCAGCAAUUAAAGAAUCCUCCUCCUGCAUUCAAGUCGACUACACAUUCAAGAGGAGACCCGAAGUUUAAGAAGCCAUUCCUCUUCUCCAACUUAAAAGCGUUUGAGGGCUUCUAAACUCUUUUCAGAUUAUAUUG